GAUAAUAAUUUUAUGAUAAAUGGUCAAAAUCGAUUUAUAUGUUAUACUUUGACAACAGUUCCCACACUAUACCCUUUAAAAUAUGACCUGCCUUAAUAAAUUCCAUGCACCUAGUAGAUGCGCAAUAGAAAUUAUGAAUGACAUUAAUCAGGAUUACUUUCAUUUGCCUGUUUUACACUCCAGAUGAAAAGUCAAAGGGAAAUAAAGGACAUUUGAAAGGAAUAAAAAAUCACAGAUGGGGAAAAAUGAACAAGUUGAUCUGGUCUUGAGGGAGGAGGAGGCACAGGAACACAGUAAAGGAACCUAUCUGAGGAGCUGCAGACAUGAACCAACAAAGGUCAAACCCCACCUGGAAAAUGAAUUGUGUCCAAAUGAGACCCCUUUAAUGACAGGAUUUGAAACAAUCUCAUUAUGAAACAAUUGCAGUCAAUGGGAAUCCUGAGUCUUCAAGGAAGUAAAAAGAAAAAAAAAUCUCUGUUAUCCUCACAUAUUUAAAGAUUCUCAUAUAAAAGCUUCUCCGAAGAGAACAGCUUGUCCUGUUUAGCUUCAAAGAAGAGAAUGAGGAGGAAGGUCGAGGGAAAAUUACAGAAAAGCAGACUUUGACUUGACACGUGGAAGGACUUCUCACUAAUGCUAUUCCCAAAUACAAUGAGUUGUUUCCGUGAUUGGAGGACUUGAAGAUGUAUAAGUUAUCCACAGGGAUGUUGCAGAGGAAAUUUGACCAUCAUAUGGGUGAAUUAACUGAUAUCUAUGAUCUUUAUUUCUCCUGAGAGUCCAUAAAAGGUAGUGUAAAACCAGCCCAAAUAGUGGUUUACAAGUGCACUGGGUAUGUUAUGUAAGAUUUCUGCUUUCCUGAUGAGGCCCCAAAGCUGAGAGCAAUGAAUGAUACAACAAACACAGCAUCCCCACAGAAUUUUCUAAGAGGUAGACAAAAUUGGCUCUGCAACCUUUAGCCUAUGGUCCACCACUGCCCUAUGUAAGGAAAGGUAAGAAAUUCAAGAGAGAUUAAUCAGAGAGGGAAGGCAAAUGGAAUGAAAUUAGUAGAAAUAAGGAGUACUGUGGCAUUUCUCUUCCCUUUGUAUAAUGAAAGAGAGGAGAAUGUAUCUUCUCCCAAAUUCCAAGCUAAGUGAGAGAGGGCAGAAAACCACCUUCUGAGAAAGAAACUGACGAUCCGUCACAGGGAAGAGAUAUCGACCUCCUUACUUAACAUUUUUGAGCUUGAUUAGAGGAUGAUGCAUUAGAUGCCAUUAUAGGACAAAUGUUUUAUGCAGUGAGAUAAUUGUUUGGAAAUUUGACGUAUACCUCUUGGAAUCUGAGGAGCAUGAAGAUCAGUGUAUGACUCUUGCCUGAAAUCAAGGAGAAAGGAAAACCCUGUCAAUGGCACAAAUUUCCAAAGUUUGGGAUGACAAGGACAUCCAGAAGAGCCUGAAGCAAUACUGCAAGUGGGUGCUUUGGUACUGCUUUGAAGCAUCUUUCCAGACUCUGCAGUAGCCAAGGCCUGUGACUCCAGUCCCUGAGAAAGUACCAUCAGGAGCAAUACGUAAGCUUUUCAGGGACAAAGAACCUUGUCCUCUUAAUCUGGAUUCACAAUUCACAAUUAUACCCCUAGCCUGCCCAACGCCUUUUUCUCAGUCUCUGAGAAGUAUUGACUCUCUUUUACCUAAGAGCAGGAGUCUGAAAACUACAGCCUAUGGGCCAAAUCUCUUCUGUUGUGUCCCACAAGGUAACAGUCGCAGUUACAUUUUUAAUUGGUUAAAAAAAUCAAUCAAAAGAACAACACUAUUUUAUAAGAUGAGAAAGAUAUUUAAAAUUCAAAUAUAAAUGCCGAUGAAUAAAAUUUUAUUGGGACAUAGCGAUGCUCAUUCACUUAUGUAUUAUCUAUGACUGGUUUCACAUGGCAGAGUUGAGCAGCUGUGAAAGAGCCUAUUCUUAGGCAAAGCCUGCAAUAUUUGUUAUCUGAACUUUUACAAAAAAUGUUCUCAAUCCCUGCCCAGGAAGAUUGCCUGAGUCUGUCAUCUUACCCCAGCAGCAUCCAUCCCUUUGUAAAUAAGACUUUUGGUAGAAAUGGAAACAAUUAAAAAUAUUUAUAUGCUUUAAAAUAAUACAUUUAAUAAAAGGUAUCUAAAUCCUUGCAUAUAUGACUGUAAUACUCCAGUGUGAUAUUAAUUGCUGGUUGUUUAAUUCCCUCAUUUUAAAUGACAGCACAGAGUUUAAUCAUGGGCAUAUUCUCAAAAAGCAUUCAGAAAUAAAGUCCUUAUGGGUGUUGCCCCUGACUAUACCACAACUCUGAAAGCCACAUGGUGGAUUUAUUUAACCUCCAAUUUUUGGGAACACUUAGUAGCAUACGUGGGCUAAUAUUUGUUAUGGCUCAAUUUACUUUCUCUCUUUUAUCCUGGGGAAAGGAAUACUUUGCUCCCACACUGUGAGGUUUCUGAGAAAGGGUGAAAAAACUAUAAUCAUUCACUUCUCUUGGGCAAGGUGGGAGUGAAAGAAUAACCAAUAAACAAAUAUAUCAAGUGCUCAUCUGUGCAGAAUGCUGCAUGCUUAAUUUAGUUAAAUAUACACAUACAUAAAAGGCACAGCCAUUAUUCCAUCGGAGCCUGAGCCUGAAAUCAGAAUAUGAAGGUCAAACUGGGGUGUAUUUCUGAUUACAGAAUGAAAUCCUCAGACCAGCUGCUCUGUGUGUCCCACUGGGCUCAGUCUUUCUCUCUAGUCCAUCUUUGCUUCCAUGUGCUACUGGUUCUGGAGUGCUAUAGGGGCCCUCAGAGCAUCAUUCUUGCCUCCAAACCUUUGUUCGCUCUGAACCAUCACCUGAGGUCCAUUAUCUGCUACAUUCCUCUUAAACAAAUUUUAUCCCACACUCAAAUGCUCAGAACAAUUCCUACUUCUUUAAAAAUAUCUCUGCUUGGAGUAUUCCGUAGACUCCUCCUUGAAUUUCAUAUUAGCAUUUCAACCGUUGAGUUUAGUCUUCUUGUAUAUCAAGUUUGCAUUUUCCUUGAAUAUUUUAUUUGUACUAGUCAUAAAUUUUCAAUUAAAUGGGAGCUCUUCAUGUUAAAGGCUGCAUCUUUAUUUCUAGUUAAAAAGUCAUACACACACAAACACAUAGUUAAUUUUCAUUAUUCACAGAUUUCAUAUUUGUG
rnacentral:lncRNA from 1 species